rnacentral:rRNA from 1 species
GACGAACGCUGGCAGCGUGCCUAAUACAUGCAAGUAGAACGCUGAAGGAGGAGCUUGCUUCUCUGGAUGAGUUGCGAACGGGUGAGUAACGCGUAGGUAACCUGCCUGGUAGCGGGGGAUAACUAUUGGAAACGAUAGCUAAUACCGCAUAAGAGUAGAUGUUGCAUGACAUUUGCUUAAAAGGUGCAAUUGCAUCACUACCAGAUGGACCUGCGUUGUAUUAGCUAGUUGGUGGGGUAACGGCUUACCAAGGCGACGAUACAUAGCCGACCUGAGAGGGUGAUCGGCCACACUGGGACUGAGACACGGCCCAGACUCCUACGGGAGGCAGCAGUAGGGAAUCUUCGGCAAUGGACGGAAGUCUGACCGAGCAACGCCGCGUGAGUGAAGAAGGUUUUCGGAUCGUAAAGCUCUGUUGUAAGAGAAGAACGAGUGUGAGAGUGGAAAGUUCACACUGUGACGGUAUCUUACCAGAAAGGGACGGCUAACUACGUG